GAACAACUCUCAGCAACGGAUAUCUUGGCUCUUGCAACGAUGAAGAACGCAGCGAAAUGCGAUACGUAGUGUGAAUUGCAGAAUUCCGCGAAUCAUCGAGUCUUUGAACGCAAGUUGCGCCCGAGGCUUGUCCGAGGGCAUUCCCGUUAGAGCGUCACCG
rnacentral:rRNA from 2 species